UACGGGGGGGGCAAGCGUUGUUCGGAAUUACUGGGCGUAAAGGGUUCGUAGGUGGCCGAUUAAGUCAGACGUGAAAUCCCUCAGCUCAACUGGGGAACUGCGUCUGAUACUGGUUGGCUUGAGUGCGGGAGAGGAACGCGGAAUUCCAGGUGUAGCGGUGAAAUGCGUAGAUAUCUGGAGGAACACCGGUGGCGAAGGCGGCGUUCUGGACUGCAACUGACACUGAGGAACGAAAGCCAGGGGAGCAAACGGG
rnacentral:rRNA from 1 species